rnacentral:lncRNA from 1 species
GUAGUUGUUAACAGCUACUGCCCACAUGAGGGGGGAAGCCAGGGCUAUACUGGAGGCAAAGUUGCCAUAUGUAAGAAGGUGGCAAGAAAAGGUAACAUAUAAUCUACAUUCUAGUUCUGAAAUAUAGAUUCUUUCUUACAGCAGAUCUGCUGGCAAAGUAAUUCUGAUGAGCAUGUUUCUGAAAUUUUCUUGAGUCUCUUGACUAAGCCCUCUACUGACCUUUCUUUGGAGCAAGUAUUUAUUGGGAAAUCAAUGCAUAUUAAAAAUUUCAUGACCUGUC